rnacentral:rRNA from 1 species
GACGAACCGAGCGAACGUUAUUCGGAAUCACUUGGGCUUAAAGGGCGCGUAGGCGGGCGGCCAAGUCAGGGGUGAAAGCCCCCAGCUCAACUGGGGAAGUGCCUCUGAUACUGGUCAUCUUGAGGGAGGUAGGGGCGUGCGGAACUUCCGGUGGAGCGGUGAAUGACGUAGAUAUACGGAAGGAACACCGGUGGCGAAAGCGGCGCGCUGGACCUCUUCUGACGCUGAGGCGCGAAAGCCAGGGGAGCAAACGGG